CGGCGACGGGUGAGUAACACGUGGGUAACCUACCUAUAAGACUGGGACAACUUCGGGAAACCGGAGCUAAUACCGGAUAGGAUAUCGAACCGCAUGGUUCGAUAGUGAAAGAUGGUUUUGCUAUCACUUAUAGAUGGACCCGCGCCGUAUUAGCUAGUUGGUGAGGUAACGGCUCACCAAGGCAACGAUACGUAGCCGACCUGAGAGGGUGAUCGGCCACACUGGAACUGAGACACGGUCCAGACUCCUACGGGAGGCAGCAGCA
rnacentral:rRNA from 1 species